GGGCCCAUGGCGCAGUCGGUAGCGCGUCUCGAUGGCAUCGAGAAGGUCGCCGGUUCGAUCCCGGCUGGGUCCA
rnacentral:tRNA from 1 species